GACGAACGCUGGCGGCGUGCUUAACACAUGCAAGUCGAGCGGUAAGGCCCUUUCGGGGGUACACGAGCGGCGAACGGGUGAGUAACACGUGGGUGACCUGCCCUCAGCUCUGGGAUAAGCCUGGGAAACCGGGUCUAAUACUGGAUAUGACUCCAUGACGCAUGUUGUGGGGUGGAAAGCCUUGUGCGGCUGAGGAUGGGCCCGNGGCCUAUCAGCUUGUUGUGGGGUGAUGGCCUACCAAGGCGACGACGGGUAGCCGGCCUGAGAGGGCGACCGGCCACACUGGGACUGAGACACGGCCCAGACUCCUACGGGAGGCAGCAGUGGGGAAUCUUGCGCAAUGGGCGAAAGCCUGACGCAGCGACGCCGCGUGAGGGAUGACGGCCUGGU
rnacentral:rRNA from 1 species